GGUAGUGCGGCGUGCUAAUACAUGCAAGUCGAGCGAAUGGAUUAAGAGCUUGCUCUUAUGAAGUUAGCGGCGGACGGGUGAGUAACACGUGGGUAACCUGCCCAUAAGACUGGGAUAACUCCGGGAAACCGGGGCUAAUACCGGAUAACAUUUUGAACCGCAUGGUUCGAAAUUGAAAGGCGGCUUCGGCUGUCACUUAUGGAUGGACCCGCGUCGCAUUAGCUAGUUGGUGAGGUAACGGCUCACCAAGGCAACGAUGCGUAGCCGACCUGAGAGGGUGAUCGGCCACACUGGGACUGAGACACGGCCCAGACUCCUACGGGAGGCAGCAGUAGGGAAUCUUCCGCAAUGGACGAAAGUCUGACGGAGCAACGCCGCGUGAGUGAUGAAGGCUUUCGGGUCGUAAAACUCUGUUGUUAGGGAAGAACAAGUGCUAGUUGAAUAAGCUGGCACCUUGACGGUACCUAACCAGAAAGCCACGGCUAACUACGUGCCAGCAGCCGCGGUAAUACGUAGGUGGCAAGCGUUAUCCGGAAUUAUUGGGCGUAAAGCGCGCGCAGGUGGUUUCUUAAGUCUGAUGUGAAAGCCCACGGCUCAACCGUGGAGGGUCAUUGGAAACUGGGAGACUUGAGUGCAGAAGAGGAAAGUGGAAUUCCAUGUGUAGCGGUGAAAUGCGUAGAGAUAUGGAGGAACACCAGUGGCGAAGGCGACUUUCUGGUCUGUAACUGACACUGAGGCGCGAAAGCGUGGGGAGCAAACAGGAUUAGAUACCUGGGU
rnacentral:rRNA from 1 species